CUGACGGAGCAACGCCGCGUGAGUGAUGAAGGUUUUCGGAUCGUAAAGCUCUGUUGUUAGGGAAGAACAAGUGCGAGAGUAACUGCUCGCACCUUGACGGUACCUAACCAGAAAGCCACGGCUAACUACGUGCCAGCAGCCGCGGUAAUACGUAGGUGGCAAGCGUUGUCCGGAAUUAUUGGGCGUAAAGGGCUCGCAGGCGGUUUCUUAAGUCUGAUGUGAAAGCCCCCGGCUCAACCGGGGAGGGUCAUUGGAAACUGGGAAACUUGAGUGCAGAAGAGGAGAGUGGAAUUCCACGUGUAGCGGUGAAAUGCGUAGAGAUGUGGAGGAACACCAGUGGCGAAGGCGACUCUCUGGUCUGUAACUGACGCUGAGGAGCGAAAGCGUGGGGAGCGAACAGGAUUAGAUACCCUGGUAGUCCACGCCGUAAACGAUGAGUGCUAAGUGUUAGGGGGUUUCCGCCCCUUAGUGCUGCAGCUAACGCAUUAAGCACUCCGCCUG
rnacentral:rRNA from 1 species